rnacentral:rRNA from 1 species
GAUGAACGCUGGCGACGUGCCUAAUACAUGCAAGUCGAGCGAACAGAUAAGGAGCUUGCUCCUUUGACGUUAGCGGCGGACGGGUGAGUAACACGUGGGUAACCUACCUAUAAGACUGGGAUAACUUCGGGAAACCGGAGCUAAUACCGGAUAACAUUUGGAACCGCAUGGUUCUAAAGUGAAAGAUGGUUUUGCUAUCACUUAUAGAUGGACCCGCGCCGUAUUAGCUAGUUGGUAAGGUAACGGCUUACCAAGGCAACGAUACGUAGCCGACCUGAGAGGGUGAUCGGCCACACUGGAACUGAGACACGGUCCAGACUCCUACGGGAGGCAGCAGUAGGGAAUCUUCCGCAAUGGGCGAAAGCCUGACGGAGCAACGCCGCGUGAGUGAUGAAGGGUUUCGGCUCGUAAAACUCUGUUAUUAGGGAAGAACAAACGUGUAAGUAACUGUGCACGUCUUGACGGUACCUAAUCAGAAAGCCACGGCUAACUACGUG